UGUAAAAAUCUCUAAUAAUAUUAAAAUUGGUUCAAUGUGCACUAUGACUAAAGGUGAAUAAUAAACGGUGAUGUAAAAGCAGUGAACAAGAAAAACGCAACCAAAAUGCAAAUAUUCUCUCCGUCUCUUCCAAUUACAUACAUUAUUGCAUCUCUCCAAAAAAGUCAGUAUGGUGUCACUCCCUGCCAUUGCCUCCUCCGCCCAUUGUGAACUGUCUUGUUGAUAGGAUGCCCUGCAGAGAGACCAGCCAGUUUGCGCUCCAAAACGUGGGCAGUGCCUGACAUGAAGUCGGUGACAAUCGCAUGUGCAUCCCAUGUUUGUAUCAUUCAGAUUGGGUGUAUAUGCUCAUGCCGACCUACACUGGCAACUCUGUUUGAUACCACCUUGCCCAGUAAGCUAGUAAGUAAAGACUAUGGAUUUUCAAUAGAGAAAG